rnacentral:rRNA from 1 species
AGAGUUUGAUCCUGGCUCAGGACGAACGCUGGCGGCGUGCCUAACACAUGCAUGUCGAACGGAGAUUUCAGCAAUGGAAUCUUAGUGGCGAACGGGUGAGUAACGCGUAGACAACCUACCUUCUAGCUGGGGACAACACUACGAAAGUGGUGCUAAUACCGAAUGUUGUAUUUUGAAUGCAUAUUUAAAAUACUAAAGGUGGCCUCUAUUUAUAAGCUAUCACUAGAAGAUGGGUCUGCGUCUGAUUAGCUAGUUGGUGAGGUAACGGCUCACCAAGGCGACGAUCAGUAGCCGGUCUGAGAGGAUGAACGGCCACACUGGGACUGAGACACGGCCCAGACUCCUACGGGAGGCAGCAGUGGGGAAUCUUCCGCAAUGGACGAAAGUCUGACGGAGCAACGCCGCGUGAGUGAAGAAGGUUUUCGGAUCGUAAAACUCUGUUUUCAGGGACGAAUGUGUGGAUUGUAAAUAAUGAUUCAUAAUGACGGUACCUGACAAGAAAGCCACGGCUAACUACGUGCCAGCAGCCGCGGUAAUACGUAGGUGGCAAGCGUUGUCCGGAAUUAUUGGGCGUAAAGCGCGCGCAGGUGGGAUAAUCAGUCUGAUGUGAAAGUUCGGGGCUUAACCCCGUGAAGCAUUGGAAACUAUUAUUCUUGAGUGCAGGAGAGGAAAGUGGAAUUCCUAGUGUAGCGGUGAAAUGCGUAGAUAUUAGGAGGAACACCAGUGGCGAAGGCGACUUUCUGGACUGUGUCUGACACUGAGGCGCGAAAG